GCUGAUGUGGCGAAAUGGUAUACGCAUUUGACUCAAAAUCAAACGAGUUCAACUCAUGUCGGUUCGAGUCCGACCAUCAGUACCA
rnacentral:tRNA from 1 species